rnacentral:rRNA from 1 species
AUUGAACGCUAGCGGGAUGCCUUACACAUGCAAGUCGAACGGAGUGGCGAACGGGUGAGUAAUGAAUCGGAACGUGCCCAGUAGCGGGGGAUAACUACGCGAAAGCGUAGCUAAUACCGCAUACGAUUGGAGCGGCCGAUAUCGGGUUAGCUAGGUGGUGGGGUAACGGCUCACCAAGGCGACGAUCCGUAGCUGGUUUGAGAGGACGACCAGCCAGACUGGGACUGAGACACGGCCCAAACUCCUACGGGAGGCAGCAGUGGGGAAUUUUGGGCAAUGGGGGCAACCCUGAUCCAGCCAUCCCGCGUGUGCGAUGAAGGCCUUCGGGUUGUAAAGCACUUUUGGCAGGGAAGCGGUACCUGCAGAAUAAGCACCGGCUAACUACGUGCCAGCAGCCGCGGUAAUUC